rnacentral:rRNA from 1 species
AUUGAACGCUGGCGGCAUGCCUUACACAUGCAAGUCGAACGGUAACGCGGGGCAACCUGGCGACGAGUGGCGAACGGGUGAGUAAUGCAUCGGAACGUGCCUGGUAGUGGGGGAUAACUGUUCGAAAGAACAGCUAAUACCGCAUACGACCUGAGGGUGAAAGGGGGGGAUCGCAAGACCUCUCGCUAUCAGAGCGGCCGAUGUCGGAUUAGCUAGUUGGUGGGGUAAAGGCCCACCAAGGCAACGAUCCGUAGCUGGUCUGAGAGGACGACCAGCCACACUGGGACUGAGACACGGCCCAGACUCCUACGGGAGGCAGCAGUGGGGAAUUUUGGACAAUGGACGCAAGUCUGAUCCAGCCAUGCCGCGUGCGGGAAGAAGGCCUC